UGCUAAGCCCAAACUUUCCCAGGCUGUCGGGGAGAAUCUGCUGCAAGAGUUCUGCUGGAACACUUCAGCAGGCAGUGGACUGUAGUAAUGCGCUUUAGGACACUUUUCCUUCGGUUUGUUUGAGAGUUUUAGACUUUCGUGAGAACUGCAAGCGGCCAGCGCGACAGCACGCCAGGUUCCGAGACAGUGCAGGGGGUCUGCUACAAAGCUAGUGAGCUGCCCGUGGCUGUGCUUUGAGAACCGUGGGGUUAGAAUUGCCGUGAACACCGGAGGAGUUGGGGUUUCGUGUAGAUAAGACGGCCGAGACCAGCGACACGGUGGGGACUUGGAGAUUCGGUGCUGAGGGAGUCCAUGCAGGCGGCGUCUGCUGAGGAACGAGCCACGACAGGUCCACGCUUCAGCGGCGUGAUCACUCGCGAUUACUCUCCGCUCCUAUUCGGAACGAACAGACACCGUGUGUCGCGCACACCUUACAGCUCAUCAUCCACACGAUACAGAAGGAAUCAAGUGUCAAGAGAGUCCUUGAUCAGUGGUCAGUGGUACAGCGCUUUCGCAAGUCUUCCAUUGCAGCACAAAGGCUACUGGACGAGUGUGGCCUUAUUGUUGCAAAUGACUGCCCCACAUGCUGGUCAAGCAGGUUCAACCUGAUUUCGCACCUCCUCAAAGUGAAAGACUCGGUCUACCAAAUUGCAAACAACAUGGGAUGGGACAGGUUGCUCAAAAGCUGAAGUCAUUGCAUGAACUAUUGCUUCCUUUUGCAGAACAUACUCAAACCCUUCAGAGUGACCCCAUGUCCAUGUCCCUGGUGGUCCCUGCACUCUUUGAUCUGUUCAACCACCUUUCCGACUUUGAAGAGAACGCUAGCCAUCGAGAGCUUGACACUCUUGAAAGGGAAAUGAAAGGAAGUGUGAACCAGCGUUUUGCUUGGAUUUUAGAUUCAACCGAUGAAAAGUUCUCACCACUUGUAGCAGCUGCCUGCUUUGUCAGCCCUACUGUGUGUGAAACCCUUGUUGAUGUAGCUGAUGAAAAUAUACAGGAACUACUACUUUUCUUUUUCUUCUUAAUAUUUUGUUUGUCAGUGAUGGCAUUAUAGGUCUUUUUGUAUGUGUUUUAGAAUUUGAGCUGCAAUAUUUUAACUGUAAACACUGAAUUACAGCAUUUAUUUAUUUUAAUUUUUGAGUUAUACUCAAUUCAGGGAGAGUAGGCCUGAUGGCGUUACAGCUUAUGCACUUUCUUUUUGGAUGUUUUUGUGAAUUUCAGCUGUUAAAGUAAUUAACCUGUGAAUACUAAAUUAUUAAUACAUAGCUGUUAUAUGUUGGUGUUUAUUUUUGCACUAAUGGCGCUGCUGCUUUUACAGUACCCAGUUUUAUAAAGAAUGUAAUAUGCAAUUUGUUAUGAACAAUGCAUGUAUUUUUCAGGCACAGCAGGCCUUCUCGUCAUCACUGUGCUGUUAUUGUUCUGCUCAAUAAGCAAGGUCAGGUGAAUAAAGAUGUUGUUGUUUGUUAAA